rnacentral:rRNA from 1 species
GUCCGAGGGCUACACACGUCAUAACAAUCGGGCCGGUACAGGAGGGUAGACCCAACCCGCGAGGGGGAGCCAAUCCCACAAAGCCGGUCGUAGUCCGGAUCGCAGUCUGCAACUCGACUGCGUGAAGUCGGAAUCGCUAGUAAUCGCGGAUCAGCAUGUCGCGGUGAAUACGUUCCCGGGUCUU